CCUACGGGGGGCUGCAGUGGGGAAUAUUGGACAAUGGGGGCAACCCUGAUCCAGCCAUGCCGCGUGUGUGAAGAAGGCCCUCGGGUUGUAAAGCACUUUCAGGGAGGAAGAACGCCUGGUGGUUAAUACCCAUCAGGAAAGACAUCACUCACAGAAGAAGCACCGGCUAACUCCGUGCCAGCAGCCGCGGUAAUACGGAGGGUGCGAGCGUUAAUCGGAAUUACUGGGCGUAAAGCGCGCGUAGGUGGCUUGAUAAGCCGGUUGUGAAAGCCCCGGGCUCAACCUGGGAACGGCAUCCGGAACUGUCAAGCUAGAGUGCAGGAGAGGAAGGUAGAAUUCCCGGUGUAGCGGUGAAAUGCGUAGAGAUCGGGAGGAAUACCAGUGGCGAAGGCGGCCUUCUGGACUGACACUGACACUGAGGUGCGAAAGCGUGGGUAGCAAACAGGAUUAGAUACCCCGGUAGUC
rnacentral:rRNA from 1 species